rnacentral:lncRNA from 1 species
CAGUGUUGUAGUGACAACCAGUUCCCUAAUUUUUCUCUCUUAGUGUCCAAAGGAUAUAUCCACAGGCAUGUUUGCCCGUCUUCGCAGGUGCUUUGUUGAUGGAGAAGAGUCUAGAGAGAAGCAAACGAAAGCUGAAAGUAAUGAUGGACACAGGACGUGGUCAUGUGGAAUGUGGAAGGCCUGAAGACAAACGUCAUCCCCUGAAACUGUCCUAAACAAGGUGCAGGCCAACGAGGAAGAGGAGAGGCUGUUUAGAGAACUCGAGCUAACUACCAAGGAGAGAAAUGAGCUGACAGAUCGCCUCCUUUAUGUGACAGGUGGAUACAUGAACAAGAGCUCCUACUUCAGGCCAAAUCCAUUUUAUGAAAAAUUGAAGAUAAAGAAGAAAGAGGUAAUGUCAUUACUGCACAACUUAGACACAAACAACAUUGAACAUCGUGAGAAAUUUCAGGAGCUCAAGAAGGAGACUAACUUCUAUCAGUAAGUACUGGUCAGAAGGGCCCAUCACUUGUGGAAUGGCCAUCUCUGCCUCUCUUUGUUCUGGACUGGAGAGCCUGCAGCUCUGAGUCCAUCUGUUCUGCUGUUUAAAAAUCACUGUGCCGUGGGUCUUUUGGACUCAGUUUCAGUUCCAUAGGAGACUGUCACUUAUCACCACAGUAUCUAUGCAUCUUUAGAAGGCUCUGGAUAGAACUACACUGAUUCAGGCAUCAGAGUGUUAUUAGGCCGACCUGGGCCUCUGGGGUCAUACCAGGUUUAACAAAGCUCUAUGUGUGGACCACAUGGUUAGCAUGACCUCCCCUUGUUUCUACUGUCCUCCUGUGGUUGUUUGCUG